rnacentral:misc_RNA from 1 species
GAUGAAGAACGCAGCGAAAUGCGAUAAGUAAUGUGAAUUGCAGAAUUCAGUGAAUCAUCGAAUCUUUGAACGCACCUUGCGCCCUUUGGCUAUUCCGAAGGGCAUGCCUGUUUGAGUAUCGUGAACACCUCAACUCUCAUGGUUUGCCAUGAUGAGCUUGGACUUUGGGGGUUUUGCUGGCCUUUGGUCGGCUCCUCUCAAACGGAUCAGCUUUCCAGUGUUUGGUGGCGUCACGGGUGUGAUAACUAUCUACGCCUGUGGUUUUCUGCCAGAUAACCUUCAGCGAUGGAGGUUCGCUGGGGCUCAUAAAUGUCUCUCUUCAGUGGAGACAGCUUUUUGGACGUUUGAUCUCAAAUCAGGUAGGACUACCCGCUGAACUUAAGCAUAUCAAUAAGCGGAG